rnacentral:misc_RNA from 1 species
GAUGAAGAACGUAGCGAAAUGCGAUAAGUAAUGUGAAUUGCAGAAUUCAGUGAAUCAUCGAAUCUUUGAACGCACAUUGCGCCCCCUGGUAUUCCGGGGGGCAUGCCUGUCCGAGCGUCAUUACAACCCUCAAGCUCAGCUUGGUGUUGGGCCCCGCCGCCCCGGCGGGCCCUAAAGUCAGUGGCGGUGCCGUCCGGCUCCGAGCGUAGUAAUUCUUCUCGCUCUGGAGGUCCGGUCGUGUGCUCGCCAGCAACCCCCAAUUUUUUUCAGGUUGACCUCGGAUCAGGUAGGGAUUCCCGCUGAACUUAAGCAUAUCAAUAAGCGGAGGA